UGCGUAGGCGGUCUUCUAAGUUUGAUGUGAAAUCCCGGGGCUCAACCCUGGAAUUGCAUUGAAUACUGGAGGACUAGAGUACUGGAGAGGAAACCGGAAUUUACGGUGUAGCAGUGAAAUGCGUAGAGAUCGUAAGGAAGACCAGUGGCGAAGGCGAGUUUCUGGACAGUAACUGACGCUGAGGCACGAAGGCCAGGGGGAGCAAACGG
rnacentral:rRNA from 1 species